ACCAAGGCGACGAUCCGUAGCUGGUCUGAGAGGAUGAUCAGCCACACUGGGACUGAGACACGGCCCAGACUCCUACGGGAGGCAGCAGUGGGGGAAUAUUGGACAAUGGGGCGAAAGCCUGAUCCAGCCAUGCCGCGUGUGUGAAGAAGGCCUUCGGGUUGUAAAGCACUUUAAGUGGGGAGGAAAAGCGCUGCGUGAAUAUCGUAGUGCCGUGACGUUACCCACAGAAUAAGCACCGGCAAAACUCCGUGCCAGCAGCCGCGGUAAUACGGAGGGUGCGAGCGUUAAUCGGAAUUACUGGGCGUAAAGCGCACGUAGGCGGUUCUGUAAGUGGGGAUGUGAAAACCCCCGGGGCUUAACCUGGGACUUGCAUACCAGACUGCAAAGCUAGAGUAUGAGAGAGGGUGGUGGAAUUUCCGGUAGUAGCGGUGAAAUGCGUAGAGAUCGGAAGGAACAUCAGUGGCGAAG
rnacentral:rRNA from 1 species